ensembl:lncRNA
AUUUGAGUGCCUUAUUGGAAUGAUGUUGAGUCCACAUGUUCAGACAGACAGGAAGUGGCUGAUUAAAUCACCUUUAUUAAAAGAUACAAGAUGCUGGAAUACCAACACUUUAGAAUGCAGAAGUACUUUACACACAGGCCCAGGCUUGUGUCCAACAUGGCCCCUUAUUCACUAUAUAGUGCACUACUUUACACACAGGCCCAGGCUUGUGUCCAAUAUGGCCCCUUAUUCACUAUAUAGUGCACUACUUUACACACAGGCCCAGGCUUGUGUCCAAUAUGGCCCCUUAUUCACUAUAUAGUGCACUACUUUACACACAGGCCCAGGCUUGUGUCCAAUAUGGCCCCUUAUUCACUAUAUAGUGCACUACUUUACACACAGGCCCAGGCUUGUGUCCAAUAUGGCCCCUUAUUCACUAUAUAGUGCACUACUUUACACACAGGCCCAGGCUUGUGCCCAACCAAACUCACAUAGAGGCUGUAUCCAAUAUGGCCCCUUAUUCACCAUGUAGUGCACUACUUUAGACCAGAGCCCUAUUCCCUAUAUAGGGCACUACUUUAGACCAAAGCCCUAUUCCAUAUAUAGUGCACUACUUUAGACCAGAGCCCUAUUCCCUAUAUAGUGCACUACUUUAGACCAGAGCCUAAUUCCAUAUAUAGUGCACUACUUUAGACCAGAGCCCUAUUCCCUAGAUAGUGCACUACCUUUAACUACAGCAUUAUUCCAUAUAUAGUGCACUACUUUAGACCAGAGCCCUAUUCCCUAUAUAGUGCACAACAUUAUACUACAGCCCUAUUCCCUAUAUAGUGCACUACUUUAUACUACAGCCCUAUUCCCUAUAUAGUGCACUACUUUUAACCAGAGCCCUGAAUAGACCAGACACCUAAUCAUCUAUAUACAUCUUAAUCUAGCAUUGUGUUUCUCCUAUUAAUCACCCUGUGAAUGACUCUCUAUGGGUCCAGGUUAACACACUAUAAAGGGAACAGAAUGACUCUCUAUGGGUCCAGGUUAACACUCUAUAAGGGGAACAGAAUGACUCUCUAUGGGUCCAGGUUAACACUCUAUAAAGGGGAACAGAAUGGCUCUCUAUGGGUCCAGGUUAACACACUAUAAAGGGAACAGAAUGACUCUCUAUGGGUCCAGGUUAACACUCUAUAAGGGGAACAGAAUGACUCUCUAUGGGUCCAGGUUAACACUCUAUAAGGGGAACAGAAUGACUCUCUAUGGGUCCAGGUUAACACUCUAUAAGGGGAACAGAAUGACUCUCUAUUGGUCCAGGUUAACACUCUAUAAGGGGAACAGAAUGACUCUCUAUGGGUCCAGGUUAACACAUUAUAAAGUGAAUAAGAGUCCAUUUGGAACACAGCCACAGUAGUAAUAACAAAGGUAUUUUUUGAUCAAAAUCCCUGUAAAUAUCUGCGGUAUCCUUGCCAACCCAUUUCAAUCUGCAGGUUGUUUUUUUCUUUUCAAAAUCACAACGUGACAGUAAACCAGUCUUUAAAGAAAAAAGAGAUCUGAAACCAUGCAACACUCAACAAGCCCACGUUACAGUUACUUCUGGGUUCGCCACCGUUUUGAAUGGCAUCAUCAAUAUCAUCAUCAUCAUCAUCAUCAUCAUCAUCAUCAUCAUCAAUAUCAUGAUCAUCGUCAUCAAUAUCAUGAUCAUCAUCAUCAAUAUCAUCAUCAUCAUCAUCAAUAUCAUGAUCAUCAUCAUCAAUAUCAUCAUCAUCAAUAUCAUGAUCAUCGUCAUCAAUAUCAUGAUCAUCAUCAUCAAUAUCAUCAUCAUCAUCAUCAAUAUCAUGAUCAUCAUCAUCAAUAUUAUCAUCAUCAAUAUCAUGAUCAUUAUCAAUAUCAUGAUCAUCAUCAACAAUAUCAUGAUCAUCAUCAAUAUCAUCAUCAUCAAUAUCAUGAUCAUCAUCAAUAUCAUGAUCAUCAUCAUCAUCAUCAAUAUCAUCAUCAUCAUCAUCAAUAUCAUCAUCAUCAACACUUACAACACCAUAAGACUUCACACAACAGUGACAAGGACGUUUUGACGUUUUUUUGGGGGGGGGAGACAGAAUCGAUCAAAUCUCGAAGACCUCAUCCACUGAGUUUCCAUGACAGGACAAAACGGGUCACGUCGUAGAUAGAACGGGGUUCUCUUCUGUUUCAUUAGUUCGUUACCCGAGUCCAUCGCUGCCUUUAGGCCUCAUGCUUGGUGUUAAAGGGGGACAGUGACGAGCAACAGAUAUACACUACACUUCAGCAAACUAACCACUGGCACCAAACACUAACCUGCUGCUCCCAGAUCAGUGUCUAACCUCCGUGUUGGCACCAAACACUAACCUGCAGCUCCCAGAUCAGUGUCUAACCUCCG